CACCCACAACUGGAUGUGGUCAUGGGGCCAGAGUCCAGGGGUGCUCACUCCGGCUCCUGUACCUGCCUGUCUGCGUGCUCCCCUUCCCAUAAGGGGUUUGAGCGUGCACAGAGGCCAAACAAGCCAUAUCCCUGUUGCAUGUUCUGCGAGGAGGGUCAGGAAACUCUCCCGUUUCAAUGGGCAAACUCAGGAACAGGCCAUGAUGAGAAGAGGGCUUGUCAUCCGCAGCUACCUGGAGCACUAUGGCAAUAAUUUACAUCUUGAAAAAAUUGUUCCUGACUUCAAAAUACAGAGGAACUUAGAUUGCUAACUGGAGCCUGGAAUCUUAUUAAAGGUUUCACCAUCCCCCAGGCUGAAAGUCACCCCACACACAUCACUCAU
rnacentral:lncRNA from 10 species